UACCUCAGUUAUGGCUCCCAGCCUUGGGCAAAGGAAACUGCUUCUGCAAGGAGGUUGGGAUUCCUGUAAGGGGCUACUAGAGUACUAGAGGGUCCUCACAGCACCUGCUCAUAGCUCAUCCAUCAAGAUCCCUGAGGUCCCCACCAUAUGAUGCAGACAUGUUCUUGAUAUCCCCUGUCUCUUCGAGUUCCUCAGAAAAGCAAAGACUCCUGUGCCACAUGACUUGUAUGCAUUGCUGUGUUUGUCAGGGAGGGCGAGGAAGCAUUGUUCAGAAAUGAGAAGAUAACCCAGGAGGUAGGUUGCUGAAGAGUCCUCCAUCCCUCCAUGAAAGGUAGCCUCAAGAAAAGGUAAUGUGCAAGUAGCAUGGGAAGCUUGACACUAAUCAGACAUUAGCUAUGGGUUUUCUCUGGCAGAAUUAUUUUACUGAACUACCAGAUUUAUUUUUCCCCCUUUAUGUUUAUCCUUUAAAUCACAUGCAGGAGUUAUAGUCUUCAUUUUGCCAAAGCAUAUGGCUUAGGAAAAAAUAUUAAAUUUGUAAAAUGUGAUAUAAUUUAAACAUUAUUUUCAUGAAGGAAAAAGUGCUACAAGAUAAUUAACAGCAGAAUGCCUUAAGAAUCCUACAAUCUAUUACACAUUUUGUUUGCUUGCUUUUCAAACGCUGGCAAGGCUCACAGAAUAGUGAAGUGGUGACAAACAUUAUUCGAAAUUAAUCAGAAGUCAGGAUGGAACUGACCCAAGGACCCUUGGAAAGCUACAAGAGUGUUCAAACUGAGGAAUGAAUGGACUCACAACAGUGUUAGUCUACUGCCAGACAGUGGGCAGCAAAGCAGAAAAACCUGUUAAAUAAGAAAAUGAGAUUGUGAAAUGGGAGAGAUUACAGUUCCACUGUAUAAAUAAGACUUUUCUAGCUGGAAUAUUCUCAUGGCACUUAUACAUGGCACUGCUGUAAAAUUGUAAGUGGUUUCUUCACAAGGAAAUACCAAACAGAUUGAACCUGUUUCCUGCUAGCCUAGAUACAUAAGGUGAGACUGAAGAAUAACACACAAAACAUUCUGAAAGAGGUAACUAUUAUCUUUAUUCUUUCUUGUGUUACAGCAGGAAGGUACUUCCAAUGAAUCUGAGAAAAAAUGAAUUAAAAUUAAUUUCAAAAUAUAUAAUCAACCCAUUGAUUAUAUGUGACCUAUGGGCCACCAAGUUGUGUUAAAAGAAUAAGACCUUGAAAUUUUAAAAUGCAAGUGGCCUGAGGCAAUGGAAAGCUCUCAAUGGUCUCCUGCAUCUGAUUUCCUUUUGUAUUUUUCUCAGAUGCAGCUCUAUCUGACUGCUGUUAGAGAUGAGAUACAGUAUCGGUGGUCUGAUCUGGAAUGAGAAAAUCUACUCUCCACUGUUUUCUUAGGAGGAAGAAUGAGUCCAUUAAUACAUGGGAAUCUGCUUUCACAUCACUCUUGACUGGAAUGAUUUGUGAAGCUCUCCGAUAGCUGUUCCAAAGGCAGGAUAUAAUAUAAAGCUGGUCUCAGAAAAUACAACCAGAUAAAGCAAAGAAAGAGCAGAAUCACUGGUAUGAGCUGAACAGAUAGUGGGGUCCAGUUUUCUUACUGCUUUCAAUAAGGAGUGUUAGGAUAAACUAAGUAAACCACGGAAAUUCAGAACUCAAAAUACAUGUGAAAUCUAAAGUGUCUUUGGGUAUCUGAAAUUACUAAUUUCAUGGGAAUCAUUAGAAAAGGAGUGUGAGAAUGUAGGAUUAAGAUUCUAAGACCACAAUACUAUGUGUUUAAGACUUUGCAAUAUUUAUUACCUCAGAAACUAUGUGAUUUCUUCAUGUUUCUAGCAUUGCUUCUUGUGUUCUUGUGAAUGUUUUUUUUAUUAUUAUUUUUUUUUCUUUUCUUCUUUUGAAGAGUUUUCAGAUUGGCAAUGAAGUUAUUUAUAAAUCAACACUAAGAAAAGAAUUAUGCCUCUACAGUCCACAGCAUGGAAAUGAGAAUAAUCUUUGCUUUGCUGUUUUUUCUUUCUCUCUCUUUUGAAUAAGCUCUUUGGCUUGCAGUUCAUCUUUUCCUAUUUAAAAUAAACAUUUAACAUUUCACAAGCACUACUUUAGUGUCUGACCCUAAACCAACAGAAGCCAAAGCAAAGAAUUGCAUUGACAUCAGUAAGCUUUGGAUUAGCUGUACAAUACACCAUCAAUCACUUUUUCUUUUGCAUAGGACUGCAAACAUUUUGCUACCAUGUGGAGGACAUUGAUGUAGAAAUACUUUGCAAUGAAAAUUAGCAGAGAAUGUAGAAGGUCUUGCAGUAGUACUCAAUUAAAAAAAGAUAAUAGUGGUCAAGUUACAGCAGCUGCUUUCUAUAUUUUUACAUUUAGUGUCUGGAUGUCUAACACAGCUUAACAUAAAGGAGAAAAAGUUCGCUUCCAAAUUUAUCCUUCUACAUAAUUACAUUUAGAUUAUGGGAAUUUUUUUGCUUUUGAGAAGAUACACUUAUGUUACAUAAGUGUGUUGUAUGAGCAUUGUAUGUUAUAAUUGUUUAACUCUUUUGUCAUUUCCUUGACCUUUUUCAGGAGAGGAAAUCAUGCUAAAAAGAAAAUCUGAGGAAAACAUAGAAGGAUCCAAAUGUAGUGCAAUCCCCCCAGUUUCUGGCAAAUUUUCCAGCACAACACCCAGGGGGUUGAUCCAAGCCAAAAAAACACUUUGGCAAACAGAAGUCUGAAAUAGCAGACACAUAUGCUGGGAAAAUUUGGCUGUUGAUAAGCCAGAGAGACCUGGUUAAGAACCAACUAAUUUUAAAGUCUGCUGAAAGAUCAUUUCUGAGCUGGUUUGGGAUUUAGGGUAUUUCACUGUCAAACUGAUGAUCUAGCAGUGAGGGUGUGCAAGAGACAGAGAUUUCCAGCAUUACUGUAACUUACCGAACAUUACAGUAUAAUUAUUAAUAAAACAAAGCGCUGUGAUGACUUGUGAAGGAAUGUGGUCUCAGUUACCAUAACACCCUGGGGUCAUUUAAAGAACACAUAUUUGCGUGGAAAAAAAUUCUGAAAUACUACAAUUGCUUAUUUUGCAACAGCUACGUGUGCUACAUAGUUUCUUUACAAUGCUUAUUUUUGCUCUGGAGGGAAAGUAUAUAUAUUACUUUAUAUUUCUCUAGUAAACUGAAACUUAAAAAUCAAGCACUUGCCAAACAUUUAUGAACGCUUCCUAGCCUGAAAAUAAAUUCUAGGGGUUGGGUGUUAUUGUCUCAAGUUUUCAUGGAAGAGAAAGCAAAAUAUGCAUGAUUAACCACAAGAACAUAGUUGUCAUCAUGAACUUAGCAUCCUUGGUGCAUGAGUCAUCUUUUGUUGAAUAUGCUGUACCUUAAAUAAUGGGGCUUUAAUUCCUGCCUGGGGAUGUUAGUAGGGCACAAAUAACAAUAGUUGGGGAAGAAACUUGUAGCAGAAACAGAAAUAUUGCCCUUGGGGUUUUCAGCACCCAGUGUUUCCUUGAACAAGAUGACACAUUUCAUGUUACUUGAUAGUUAGCCAUACUUCUUUAAUAUUUAACUAUAAAAGUAAGGUUCUUUCUUGGAAGGGAUCUAGAGAGUAGACAGUAGGAGUUGUUGCAGGAGAUGCAGACACUGCCUGCUCUCAGGCACAUCAAUUAAUUUUCUGCAGCAGCUCUUAGCCCUAAACUCAUGUGCUUCCUUCCCAGAGGACUGUUUUGAAACUGUUCUUCAUAAAACAUGAACAUGAAAGAUCAUGAGAUCCUUUCAUGAGAGAGAAGGAUUUGCUUUUGCCUGGCUUUGUUUGCUGCAUCCUGGACCUUUGAUGUUUCUAGAGUAUUUUGGCCUGCAGGUGUUCGAAAGGAAAUGACUUUCUGAAUGCUAAGAAAAGUCUUGCUCUUGCAUAACUUUGUAAAGGUGUUUUAAAAAGUAAAUAAGAUACCAGGGAAUAAUUAUAAGUUUAUUAAAGACUAAAUCAGAGUUCAAGUAGUGUUAUCCUGUUGGAAGGGAAUGGGAAGGCUGAAGGGAGGUGACCAAAUGUCUUGACUCUUUUGGGCAAAUACAGUUUAUUCCUGUAGGAUUACACACUUAUAUAUGUCAGAGAAAAAAAUAUUUACUGAAGAAAUAAGUGAGUGAGAAGUGUUUAACCAGCCUGCUGUUGAUUACAUAUUUUUUGUCUAUGACCCUUAUUAUUAAAUGCUAUAAAUUUGAAAAAAAUCUGGGAGAUCAGAAAAGCCAAUUUUUAUUACCUCCACAACUGAAACUACUGUAAUAGUCCCUUUGUAAUUCUGUACUUGCUGCAUACCUCUAGGUUUCUAACAUUGUGUUUGAAAAAGAGGGUUUCAAACCUGUUCUUUGCUUUGCAGAAAGCAGUAUAUUAAUUGUCUGGAAAAAUAAAACCUGUGCUUGGCCAAUAUUUUUGACCAUCUCCCAAAGAAUUUUAAAAGACAGAACCACAAGAUUUCCCUCUCUCACACUCACAUGAGCAACUAGUUGAAGACAAAAGAUGCAUGAACACUCCAACUCCUGUUAUUGUAUAAGCUAUCUUGGUACACCACAUAACCUUUUGCCAAGUCAGAGCUGACACUUUGAUGAGAUAUUUCUGCAGCCAGUGAUGAUUUCACAGACAGUGCUAUGUGCCAUGUCUUGGCAGCCCAGAUUUGAAAUAUUUGAAGGAUCAAGGGCUUGUUUCUGAAAGAACUGCUUUAAAAGUUUUUUCAUGUAUUUGGUAGUCAAUGUCUUGCAUGCUAUUCAUUAAAACACAGUUAUCUUUCAUUAAGCCUUAAUGAAUGGACUAAUAGAAGUAGAAUAUGUGCUCAAAUGCUUCAUAGAUGUUUAUUGACCCACUUGUCAUUGCUGUUUUACAGAGGAGUUUUCCAAAGAAAAAUGGCUGAAAUGCUGCUGGCGCUGCCACAGCUCAAGUAGUGAGUAGGGAGUUUCAGAGAAACAGUCACUCUUCCCUGACAAGAUUAGUAGAUGGGGUAUGUCAGUGUAAGUAAUGAAGUCGUGUUUAGCAGUUCCUCUGGGAUACUUCAUCAACAUUACAAUAUUCACUAAUUGACUAAAAUGGAGCAGACAUACUUGAUGAGGAUCUUCAUGAGUUACUGGAUCUGUGCCUGUCAGAAGGAUUAAGUCAAAGAAAAUAACCUGAUUUUUGUUUUGUUUUCUUUUCUUUUCUUUUUUCUUACUGACCUGUGCUUUGGUAGAGGCUCAUUACAAGUUUGAUGUAGGAAAGAAAGGGCGCAGCAGCCCUUUCAAGCUCUGGGAAAAAGAACCACAAGCAGAAAAGGCUUGCAUUUUGUUUGGCCCUUAGCUGUUUAGAGGAGACCAUAUGGUAGAACAAGCAGGAGGAGAAUGAGUUCAUUCCCUCUGAAGGGGCAAAAAUCACAGCUCUUCAUACAGGGAAAGGUGGAGCUUUUAUUUUAACUUGCUGAGAAUAGCCAAGGAAUCUAGUAAUUAUUCUGGCCAGGUUUAUGUUAAAGGGACACUGUCAAGUACUUUAUAAAACAGAUUAUAAAACUCUUCAGCACUUCAGCACUUUCUCUUAAAUACAUGAAAAUAAUUCUUCCAUUACCAGUUGCAGCCUUCAGCAUUUGGCAGCAGUCUGUUCCUCCUCCUUACUUUAAUUUGUAUUUAAAAAAUGCCGUUACACAUACAUUACACAUUGACUCUGUUCUUCAGUGGCUUGUAAGUUCACCUCUGCAUAUCUGCUUCACAGAGACCAAGCUUCAGCAUGAAGCUAUUACAACUAGAUGUAAAGAAGAAAAAAAAAAAAGUGGUAAAGGGAAAGUAAAUUGAGAUAUUAACAGAAAAGCCUCUGAAUAUUUCUUUGGCCAUGGCCAUCAUUACAAAAGCUGACAUGGCACAGGAAAUAUUGUUGCUUAAAUUGCUGUACCCUUCUGAAGGACGGAUCAACAGAAUUCCAUUAAGCAAACAAUAACCUCAGCCACAGGAGCUAAUGUGAGGGAGAAGUCUGAUGACAGGGCCACAGGGUGUUGAGGAAGCAACUGUAAAUAGGAGAGUUUGUCUUCCAAGGCUAGGAUUGUGUUCUAUGCCAACCUCUGUGUGUGUGUGUGUGUUUGUAGGGGUGGGGGAGUCAAAAAGGAGGGAUGCCACUCCUUCAGCCUUUUCUAGUAAAUCUGUCUCCACUAAGUGAAUUGAAAUGAAUUUCUGGUGCAAAGGCAGUUCCAGAGAAAUGAGGAUUACAUCUUUCCCUAAAGCUUCUCACCUGCUUUUAAUCCUGGCAUCCUGUAUUAUUGUACAAUGUUUCCUAAUAUAAGGAUUAAUUCCUUUCUCUAUUCAUUACUGUGAACUCAAUCUUUUCCAACCUUACUAUGGCAUUGGGGAGUGUGCAUGGGGUUCCCUUCUGGUCUGCAGGAAUGACUUCCUUUGAGGCAUUGGGUCAGAAGACUUUUCCUCUCCCUCUGUAGAAUAGCAUGCUUCUCAAUAUUUGAGUCAGUCUCGGUUUUCUGUUGCACAUCUAGGUCUGCACAGCAAUCCCUGGUUUUCUCUUUGGAGCUGUUGGUAGCUUUCUUCAGGCGAGGUAUUUACUACGAACGGCCAUCUGUACAAAUGCAGGGUGGGGAAGGGCUGACUGAGCAACAGCUCGCUAACAACAAAAAGGAUCUGUUCUUAUUGUGGAGCACAAGCUGAACAUGAGCCAAUAGUGUUGUGAAAAAGGCGCUCUAGGAGGCACAUUGUUCUAAAAAACACAAUAAGUGGUCCUUCAAGUCUUCUUGAAGCUCUUGAAGCCUCAGUUGGAGCACUAAAUAUUAUUUAGAGUACUGUAAUUAAGAAAGGAUGUGAACCAGUUGGAUAGAGACCAGAGAGGAAUACUGAGAAUGAUCAGAAUUUGGAAAAAAAAUGACUUCAGAAGGGUGACUGCAUAAGCUGUUGUUUAGCCUAGAGAGCAGGAAAAAAAAAUCAAAAAACAAAAAAACAAACAAACAAACAAAAAACAGCUAAAAGGAACAUGAUAACUGUCUUCCACAUAGUAACGGAAACAUAAAAAACUUUUUACCUGAUAGCGAAUUGAAAUAAUGGAUCUGUAGUUCAGCAAGCGGGGUAAUUUUUAAACUGAGAUGAACAAAAAACUUUGUCAUUGCUAACAGCCAUAAGACUGUGGAAUAAUUUACCCAGUAGGUUUGUAAAGUUUUCCCCAAUAAAAGUAUGUAUAAACAAACAUGUUAGACACUGAAGGGAAUGACAUCUACAGAUAACCCUUCUGUCAGGCAGUGGAUGGAAUAAAUAUCUCUCAAAUUUCUUCCUGUUCCUAUUUUCCAUGUGUUUUUGUUUGUUUUGCUUUAUUUUGCUUUUCAUAUUAAAAGAAUAAAACCCAGUAAAAUGCAAAGUUUUUCAAAAAGUCCUUAUAAAAGCAUUUCAUGUUAUUGUCUGCCCAUGUUUUGUUGGAGAGGAAGGUAAGUCCAAGGUAAGUUCAAAAGUUUUCAGACUACCCUAGUGUGCAUCAUUACAUGCCAAUCUGAAAUCCCUACAUUUUUUGAAUGAGUUUGUUAGGCUCAGUGAAAAGUUGACUUAAACUAUGUCUCUCCCAGGAUUUUCUAGUAACCUUCAAGUUUUUCCUGCUAGCUGUCUUUUCCUCAUCUUGGGAUGAAUUGUGAGGUCUGGUGAAAAACACACAGAAAAAGAAGAUGAUGAUCCUUCUUUCCUGUGUUUUUCUAAAAACCUCUGUUAUUUACUGCAAUAUAAGUUGUACAGGAAACCUCCUACUCACCAAAACAGCAUGCUUAACACGUAAAUCACAGAACAUAACCAUAUCUGUCCCUAAAAAUUUUGGGCAUUACAACACAAUCCACACCAUUUUACACCUGACAGAUAAACUGCAGACUAACUUAUUAAUUCCUGCCUUACUUCCUCUUUCUAAAUGUAUCCUGUUUUUGAGUAAAGACUACCGUGACUGAAAGAAAGUUAUGAGGGCAAUUUUCUUUCCCUCUCAAAAUAAUUUCUCAAUCUAUCUUUCAAAAUAUGGCAACGUGAAUGAACAAAUACAACAUUUCUUCAAAAUAAUCUAUAGAAAAUAAGUCAAGUAGAUUAGAGUGUUACUGUCUGUCCAGUUCAGGCUUACAGUUUAGCUUUUGUGGAAAAAUUUAAAGUGACAGAUGUAACCAAGCUGUUGAAAGUUGAAUCAUUGUGAAAUAUCUCUACUUAGUUCUGAUAUCAAGUUUCUACUAAGCCUUACAACUAUAUUAUGUUACUGAAGUAUGGUGUGCAAAUCCUUUAUCUUCAUAGCAAUAGUAAUCACACUGCGCUUUUAAUUUUCCUUCUUUUUAAUGCUGAAAUUUUAGAAUGAAUAGGAUUAAUGAAGAUAUAUAAAGUACAAUUUCAAAAUAGGUCUUUAGGUUCCACUUACCUAUUCAACCAAUACAGUUGCAAGUUUAUUUUAAAUAUGCACUUAUGUCUGAAGCUGUUUUCCCCAAAUCAGCCCAUCUAGAGGACAGAUGUCAGCUAGGUCAUACACAGGAGCUGCCAUAUAGUGAGUGGAGAGACCAAGGUAUGUCCAGGUUUGCCUGCCAUACUGUGGUGUGACAAAUCUCUUUCCAAAGGUGCUCAGUUUUCCUCUAUUUUCUACAUUCUCUCAGGUGUCCUCUAGUUUUCUCAGGUGUCCUUAGACAGGGGAGAAAAAAACCCUCUCACAAUUACUUCAAAUUGGUACCACACAAUCUGAUUGUAAGGAUUUAAUUUUGGAGAGAAAAAAAUAUUCAAUAUUGGAAAUACUUGUUUUUACUAGGAAAAGAAAAGAAGUCAGAGACUGUCCCCAGUGACAAGAUGAGAGGCAAUGGGCACAAACUGACACACAGGAAGUUCCUUCUGAACAGAAGAAAAAAGCGUUUUACUGUGACGGUGACCAAGCUCUGGCACAGGUUGCCCAGACAGCUUGUGGAAUCUCCCUCCUUGGAGAUCUUCAAAAGCCUCCGGGACAUGGUGCUAGGCAACAGGUGGCCCUGCCUGGGGCCUGCUGGAUGAGAUGACCUCCAGAAUUCCCUUCCAACCCCAUAAUUCUGUGAUUCUAUGAUUUAUUUAUAUAUGACUCAUCAGUAUGGAUAGGAAUAUCCAUAAAUCAUAUGAGUUAUUUUAAUAACACUUUGAAAAACUCCAAAAUAGUUUUGACUAUGAUAUUCACAUCUGGGAUUUUUUGCAUUUUCCAUGGCACCGUGAGGAAUGGAAGCAUUUGUUUUGUGCAGAUCGGUUGGGCCAUAUUAAAUCAAUCAAGGAACUGAAAUAGUUUUUAGCAAAUUAACAAAGGUUUGUGAUAGAUGUUAAACUCUCUAGAGGCUAUUAGGAGUGAAACUGUCAUAAAUACAUACUCUUUAAAAAAGCUAAACAGUCCAAAGAAGUAAAUUUAACUGUUUACCCAACAUAUAUAUUAAAAGAAGCCAACAUCCACCAGGACUGAAUUACACUGGAAGUGCAGUAAGUGUAUUUCUAGCAACUUGAUCUAUUAUUUGCACUUCCCAGCCUAUAGGUAUCUUUACCUAAUACGUACAAUUACACAGGGAAAUUCUAAAUGAGAAACUAAAUUCUUUCUCUAAUUUUUGUUUCUAAGUGUCUAUUUUGAACAAAAGCUUGAUGUUUUGCUAAGACUUGAAAAACUGUUUUCCAUGGAAAAUGAAACUACUUACUGAAGUCUAUUGGUAUUUGCUUCUACCUUAAAAUUGCACUUUAAAGCAAAUUAAAUGUGGUCAAAAGUUGGAAGAUUGUAUUUCAUAUAUAUACAGACCAGAAACAUUCUGCAACAUUUAUUUCUACUCUGUCCAGUACAGUACGUGUACAUUUUCUAUUUUGGGAUAUCUAAGAUAAAUGUCCAUAACAAAACAAAAAACUACUACUCUCUCAACACCUUAAUUUAGAAAAAGCAAACAACAUUUCAUCAAAAUCAACUAUUAAAAGGCUAUUGGAAGUUCACGUUGAUUCAUUUGUCUGUAACAAAAAGAUUUUAAAACUUUGGUGCUACAGCAAAGUGAAACAAAUGGAAGUACUCCAAAGUAGAACAUAAAUUUUAGACAUAUUCUGUGACCUUUUCACAUUGCCAUUACAAUAUUUUGAGGAGUAUUAUAGAGAUAUAUAUAUAUUUUUUUUUUUCUUAUAGGAGAGACUCAUGUUAGAUUAGUCUAAAGAUGUUAGAAAAUAUGGUAUCUUAGAAAACUGGUAAUUCACAGUCUGCAAAUUAAACCAAUGCAGUGAUUCUGAUAUAAACCACUGUAAAGAACAACAAAGAUUAACUCAAGAUGAUGCAAAAUAGCUAUCUGGAAGGAAUAGUUGCUAUGAGAAUGUGAAAUAUACAUGUGUUUGUACAUAAGUGCAUACAUUUGACAAUCUCAUGAGAUGUGCCUUAUAAAUGCAAAUUAUGGCCCUAUAGCCAUUCUAUGAUUCUAAAAUGUUUAUUUAUAUGCAUUUAUCAUAACCUUAUUUAUAAGAGCAUUUACAUAUGUAAAGUUUGCAAGAUGGUAGCGGGAGGAUGUGAAUUUCCUAAAGACAGCUUGACAAGACUGUUUCACCCUUGGUUUCCUGACCUCUCCCCUAAGCUUAAAGAGUUCUUGCUCCAUUUGAUUUAUCACCUUCUAAAUCUGCAACACAUGUUUCAGUCACAAAAAAAAAAAAAUAACUGUGGUAUGCAGACAUUUAUUAAAAAGGCAGUAUAAGGGAAACAGAUAUAAUAUAAUAUUAGUAAUACUUAUCUGUAAAAUUUUGCCAAGAAAGAACAGUCUACUUAUGUAAAGUCCCUUUUCUUGUACUAGCAAGUUCUAAGAAAAUGCUGCAGUAUUCCUUCAUGGCUCAUUCUUUGAUAAUAGUAGACAAAUAAUAAUUGUAAGAUGUUUAAUUAUCUAAAUUGUUAAAGGAUUUACAUAAGUCCUUUUAAUAAAUACAAAUUUAACUAUGUCAAGAAAAGUUGUGUCUAGUCAUUCUCAGCAUGUAGCUGUAUCAAUAAUAUUUAUUUCCAUCUUUUUAUAAGGUUAUAUAAAUAUAUUUAUAAGGCUAUAUAUAAUAUAUUUAUAAGGGUACUAUUGAUAAACUAGUGAUAGCAUUAAUUUUCAAACAUCCUCGGGAGCUCUGUAUCUAUGUUAUCUUAGAAAACACUUCCAAGGGUCUUGAAAAGACCCUCAGGUGAUCCUCAUUUGACAGAUGAUAACUAUGCUAAAUCAAGAAGACUGGAACAAGUCUCAGAAAGGAAGAAAAUAUUCAAAUCGACCAAAAAAAAGUUUGGUUAGAACAGAACAGAGCAGAGCAGAGCAGAACAGAACAAUUUGGUUGGAAGGGACCUUCAAGGGUAAAAUCAAAUCGAAUCAUCUAAGAAAAAUCAGACAUGAUCUCUGUUUUGAUGCAUAGGAAGAGUAUAGAAAAAAUGUAUUAAUAGACCUCUGGGCUGAUGAUUGCUUUUGGUACUGGAAAAUGCUGUAUGAGGCUUCUCAGCUGUUUCAGAUCUUGAUCAGGAACAAAAUUAGACAUUAAAAGUCUGACUGACUGACUGACUGGCAAGUCCAGAGGGGCAGAAAGUGAACGCCUUGGUCACAGAACACACUGAUUACCAAUGUUAGAGGCAAAUAAGGGAGAGAUUCAAUAUGCUCCUGAGAUGCAUGCCAUGUUUUGGAGGGUAUAAGUGAUGGAACAGUUUUGUACAGCCUGUGCAACUCACUGAAGUCCUGCAAAAAUAUGCCCUUUUAGUGCAAUUAGAUUAACACAUUUAUGGUGAUGAUUAUAAGGUAAAGAAAGCUUUUAUUCUGUAAAAUUGCACAAAAGUAAGAUGUCCAAUUGUUACUGGUAAAUUUACAAGAGUGCUAUUUUUAAUAAACAUUUUUUUUUUUUUUUUUAAAUGAGCAUAACUAAAAGCUGAGCAAUCAUUAAAAACCAAAGUAUAUAUUUGCUAUGAAGAGUCUGGGACAAUUACUAAAGAAAAACCAUACAGCUGUGUUAUUAUUAUAUUAUUUACUCCAUUUAUGCCAUUCACGCCAAUUACUCAUUUGUUUCUGUCUCAUUGAUGUUUGAGUAGUCUGUGUUUAACCAGGUUGUUUGGAAUACUGUGCUCAUUUGAACUGUAACAAUGAAAGUUGGUCAGCUACAUUGUUUCUGAACUGGAAAUAUUCCUGUGGGGAACAGGAACUCUCAUGACAAAUGCGGUUCUCCUAAACAGACAGAGAAAGGUAAAAAAACUACCACAUGUGCUGUAGGUGCUACAACAGAGAAUUUAUGAGAUAUGUACAGUUGCAUAAACAUUAACAUUUGACAUAACAUUUGACUUCCACAUACAUUCUUUUAGAUUAAAUCUUAACCUCUAUAAAUGUUCAACCAAAAUUUACUGAAGCAUAAUGUGAAAUUCAUUUACUAGUUAAUUUAAUCUGGACUAAAAUUUUAGAUAUGAAAGGAGAAUAAAUGCAAAUAAAACAAAUAAUUGUUGCAAAACAUUCCAUGCAGAUGAGAAAAUAUUAGCCCACAAUUUUAGCUGGAAAUGAGUAAUUUGUUCCAACACUGAGGAUAGCCCAGUAUUUCAUUAACUACUGAUUUGUGAUGAUCUAAUUUGGGAAUUAUAUUUUCUAAUCCAGAUGUUUCCUUUAUUACACAACUCUAUUUUUUUACAGAUUGGGAAGAGCAGAUGGGAAAGUGUUUCACUCUCUCUACAUGUUCAGGAUAUUUAGGAUUUAGUCUCUUGUUUGUCCAUUGAUUAUGGUUUUACUGUUUUCUGGUUGAAUGUUCUACUAGGUCUUCCCUCCUCCUCUCACAGAAUCUUAGAAUGGUUUGGGUUGGAAGGGAGUCUUCAUCUAACUGCAACCCCCCUGCCAAAGGCAGG